GGUCAAGUGAAGAAGCGCAUACGGUGGAUGCCUUGGCAGUCAGAGGCGAUGAAAGACGUGGUAGCCUGCGAAAAGCUUCGGGGAGUCGGCAAACAGACUUUGAUCCGGAGAUCUCUGAAUGGGGGAACCCACCUAGGAUAACCUAGGUAUCUUGUACUGAAUCCAUAGGUGCAAGAGGCGAACCAGGGGAACUGAAACAUCUAAGUACCCUGAGGAAAAGAAAUCAACCGAGAUUCCCUUAGUAGUGGCGAGCGAACGGGGAUUAGCCCUUAAGCUUCAUUGAUUUUAGCGGAACGCUCUGGAAAGUGCGGCCAUAGUGGGUGAUAGCCCCGUACGCGAAAGGAUCUUUGAAGUGAAAUCGAGUAGGACGGAGCACGAGAAACUUUGUCUGAACAUGGGGGGACCAUCCUCCAAGGCUAAAUACUACUGACUGACCGAUAGUGAACCAGUACCGUGAGGGAAAGGCGAAAAGAACCCCGGAGAGGGGAGUGAAAUAGAACCUGAAACCGUAUGCGUACAAGCAGUGGGAGCCUACUUGUUAGGUGACUGCGUACCUUUUGUAUAAUGGGUCAGCGACUUAUAUUCAGUGGCAAGCUUAACCGUAUAGGGUAGGCGUAGCGAAAGCGAGUCUUAAUAGGGCGUUUAGUCGCUGGGUAUAGACCCGAAACCGGGCGAUCUAUCCAUGAGCAGGUUGAAGGUUAGGUAACACUGACUGGAGGACCGAACCCACUCCCGUUGAAAAGGUAGGGGAUGACUUGUGGAUCGGAGUGAAAGGCUAAUCAAGCUCGGAGAUAGCUGGUUCUCCUCGAAAGCUAUUUAGGUAGCGCCUCAUGUAUCACUCUGGGGGGUAGAGCACUGUUUCGGCUAGGGGGUCAUCCCGACUUACCAAACCGAUGCAAACUCCGAAUACCCAGAAGUGCCGAGCAUGGGAGACACACGGCGGGUGCUAACGUCCGUCGUGAAAAGGGAAACAACCCAGACCGCCAGCUAAGGUCCCAAAGUUGUGGUUAAGUGGUAAACGAUGUGGGAAGGCUUAGACAGCUAGGAGGUUGGCUUAGAAGCAGCCACCCUUUAAAGAAAGCGUAAUAGCUCACUAGUCGAGUCGGCCUGCGCGGAAGAUGUAACGGGGCUCAAACCACACACCGAAGCUGCGGGUGUCACGUAAGUGACGCGGUAGAGGAGCGUUCUGUAAGCCUGUGAAGGUGAGUUGAGAAGCUUGCUGGAGGUAUCAGAAGUGCGAAUGCUGACAUGAGUAACGACAAUGGGUGUGAAAAACACCCACGCCGAAAGACCAAGGGUUCCUGCGCAACGUUAAUCGACGCAGGGUUAGUCGGUUCCUAAGGCGAGGCUGAAAAGCGUAGUCGAUGGGAAACAGGUUAAUAUUCCUGUACUUCUGGUUACUGCGAUGGAGGGACGGAGAAGGCUAGGCCAGCUUGGCGUUGGUUGUCCAAGUUUAAGGUGGUAGGCUGAAAUCUUAGGUAAAUCCGGGGUUUCAAGGCCGAGAGCUGAUGACGAGUCGUCUUUUAGAUGACGAAGUGGUUGAUGCCAUGCUUCCAAGAAAAGCUUCUAAGCUUCAGGUAACCAGGAACCGUACCCCAAACCGACACAGGUGGUCGGGUAGAGAAUACCAAGGCGCUUGAGAGAACUCGGGUGAAGGAACUAGGCAAAAUGGCACCGUAACUUCGGGAGAAGGUGCGCCGGCUAGGGUGAAGGAUUUACUCCGUAAGCUCUGGCUGGUCGAAGAUACCAGGCCGCUGCGACUGUUUAUUAAAAACACAGCACUCUGCAAACACGAAAGUGGACGUAUAGGGUGUGACGCCUGCCCGGUGCCGGAAGGUUAAUUGAUGGGGUUAGCGCAAGCGAAGCUCUUGAUCGAAGCCCCGGUAAACGGCGGCCGUAACUAUAACGGUCCUAAGGUAGCGAAAUUCCUUGUCGGGUAAGUUCCGACCUGCACGAAUGGCGUAACGAUGGCGGCGCUGUCUCCACCCGAGACUCAGUGAAAUUGAAAUCGCUGUGAAGAUGCAGUGUAUCCGCGGCUAGACGGAAAGACCCCGUGAACCUUUACUGUAGCUUUGCACUGGACUUUGAGCCUGCUUGUGUAGGAUAGGUGGGAGGCUUUGAAGCGUGGACGCCAGUUCGCGUGGAGCCAUCCUUGAAAUACCACCCUGGCAUGCUUGAGGUUCUAACUCUGGUCCGUGAUCCGGAUCGAGGACAGUGUAUGGUGGGCAGUUUGACUGGGGCGGUCUCCUCCUAAAGAGUAACGGAGGAGUACGAAGGUGCGCUCAGACCGGUCGGAAAUCGGUCGUAGAGUAUAAAGGCAAAAGCGCGCUUGACUGCGAGACAGACACGUCGAGCAGGUACGAAAGUAGGUCUUAGUGAUCCGGUGGUUCUGUAUGGAAGGGCCAUCGCUCAACGGAUAAAAGGUACUCCGGGGAUAACAGGCUGAUACCGCCCAAGAGUUCAUAUCGACGGCGGUGUUUGGCACCUCGAUGUCGGCUCAUCACAUCCUGGGGCUGAAGCCGGUCCCAAGGGUAUGGCUGUUCGCCAUUUAAAGUGGUACGCGAGCUGGGUUUAGAACGUCGUGAGACAGUUCGGUCCCUAUCUGCCGUGGACGUUUGAGAUUUGAGAGGGGCUGCUCCUAGUACGAGAGGACCGGAGUGGACGAACCUCUGGUGUUCCGGUUGUCACGCCAGUGGCAUUGCCGGGUAGCUAUGUUCGGAAAAGAUAACCGCUGAAAGCAUCUAAGCGGGAAACUUGCCUCAAGAUG
rnacentral:rRNA from 1 species